rnacentral:rRNA from 1 species
AGUCAAUAGAUACCCAGGUAGUCCCAGCAGUAAACGGUGCGCGUUUGGUGUGAGCAGAUUCGACUCUGUUCGCGCCGGAGCUAACGCGUUAAACGCGCCGCCUGGGAAGUACGAUCGCAAGAUUAAAACUCAAAGAAAUUGACGGGGGCCCGCACAAGCGGUGGAGUAUGUGGCUUAAUUCGAUGCAACGCGAAGAACCUUACCUGGGUUUGACAUGCAUCUCUAAGGAGGUGAAAGCUUCCGAGGGUAGCAAUACCCGAUUUGCACAGGUGCUGCAUGGCUGUCGUCAGCUCGUGUCGUGAGAUGUUGGGUUAAGUCCCGCAACGAGCGCAACCCUUGUAUGCUGUUGCUAUGCUUACGCAUAGCUCUCUGCGUAGACUGCCCCGUGAAACGGGGAGGAAGGUGGGGAUGACGUCAAGUCAGCAUGGCCCUUACACCCAGGGGCUGCACACGUACUACAAUGCUCAGUACAAUUAGAACCUGCCCCGCGAGGGUUGGGAAAUCAGCG